GAUUAGCACCUGGAUCAGGGAAAUCACCUCCUUGGGGUGCAUCCACCUUUCUCAUUCAUCUCUGUCUCUGCAGGUGAUGAGAGUGGCAGCUGGAGGUGGGAGAAUGUUCCUUGCAUAAUGAAAGUGACUCUUAUGGAUCCAGCAGAGACUCCAGGUCAACAGAGAGGCCACGUCUCUGGAGGGGACUUUGUGGAGAUUACAGUGGUUUAGAACAGCAUUGAGAGUCUUCCCUUUCCCCACGCACCACUUCUCCUUUCAUUAAUAUCUGCUUUGCAUAAGGACACCUGAUUACGUCAGUCACUUAACGCAGAAUAGGUGAGGAGUUGGGGUCACUAUUGUAGUUCCAUAAGAUCGCUAAGAAUUUCAGGGAUGUAGUGUUGAGUUGUUCUUGUUUGUCUUGAAGGGUUUGUUUUUUAUCCCCUCCAGAUUAUUUAAUUUACAUAAUUUGGCUAACCAACCAGGACCUACUGUAUAGCAAAGGGAACUACGCUCAAUACCUUGUAAUAAUCGCUAAUAGAAAAGAAUCUGAAAGACUAUGUAUACAUAUCAAAUCACUUUGCUAUACACCUGAAACUAGCAUAAUAUUGUAACCUAACUUUAUUUCAAUAAAAAUGUUUUUAAAAAUGUAGAACA
rnacentral:lncRNA from 1 species